GCGACCUCAGCUCAGGCGGGGCU
rnacentral:rRNA from 24 species